rnacentral:lncRNA from 1 species
GGAGCGAAGAGGACGGCUUUCUGGUAUGGCGCGGCCUUUGUCUCUUGCUGCCGCUGGAGCUCCAGAUCUCUUGUUCACUGCUCUGUGUUCUCUGCUCAUAGAGGCCCAGCCUCUGAGGCCCUUUGACCUGCAGGUAUUGGGAGAUCCACAGCCAAGAGCCAGGACCCCCUAGAAGUCUAGAAAUGAUGGAAUUAAAUUCACCUGUCUCGGCCUUCCAAAAUGCUGGGAUAACAGGCAUGAGCCACCGCACCCAGCCCAGUUAUUUCAACAAGUGCAUGCUCAAGAGUGUGUUGUAUCAUUUCUAUAUAGCUGUAAAUUUAUCAAUUAUUUAUAUUAUUGUUUUAUACUCUAAUUCCAUUUUUUGUCGUAGAAGGUAAUCUAUGAAAUUUCGGUUUUAAAAAAUGUGUUAAGUCUUUGUUUUUGGCCUAUCAGGUGGUUUAUAAAGAAGAAUGUUGAAUGAGCUAUUGAGAAGGCUGUGUAUCCCGAUGUUGUUGAGGAGUGUUCUCUAUACCUUCAUUAGAAAUUAUUGUUUUUGACUGCCUUUUAGUCCUCUGUUCCCUUACUAAUAUCAUCUUGUUUUAUUAUUAUUACAGAAAGUGGGGUAUUGAAAUAUCCUACUAUAAUUAUAUUGCUCUCUCUGUGUUUAUUCAGUUUUGUUAGUAUUUACUUUAUAUAUCUGAAAGCCUAAUUUGAGACACACACACAAAUACAUGCAUGUAUAAACAAAUUUGUCAUACAUUCACAGGGAAUGAAUCUAUGUAUUGUUAAAUGUCCUUUUUUGUCUGUUUGAAGUUUUGACUUAAAGUACAUUUUAUAAAAUAUGACAGUUUUUUACUUAAGAUGUAGCUUGUGUAAUAUUAUUUUGAGCUCUUCUGCUCUAAUUUGGUUAAUAUUUACAUUAAAUUUCUACUUCCAUCUCACCACUUUCAGUCUUUUUUUGUCAUUAGAUCUCAACUGACUCUUGUAGAAAGUCAAGUUGAAUCUUGAUUUCACAGAAUUUUUAAUAAACCUUUUUAUUGAAAGUA